rnacentral:rRNA from 1 species
UACAGAGGUCGCAAGCGUUGUUCGGAUUCAUUGGGCGUAAAGGGUGCGUAGGCGGCGCGGUAAGUCGGGUGUGAAAUCUCGGGGCUUAACUCCGAAACUGCAUUCGAUACUGCCGUGCUUGAGGACUGGAGAGGAGACUGGAAUUUACGGUGUAGCGGUGAAAUGCGUAGAUAUCGUAAGGAAGACCAGUGGCGAAGGCGGGUCUCUGGACAGUUACUGACGCUGAGGCACGAAGGCCAGGGGAGCAAACGGG